rnacentral:rRNA from 1 species
UUGACCUCGGAUCAGGUAGGGAUACCCGCUGAACUUAAGCAUAUCAAUAAGCGGAGGAAAAGAAACCAACUGGGAUUGCCUUAGUAACGGCGAGUGAAGCGGCAAUAGCUCAAAUUUGAAAGCUGGCGCCUUUGGCGUCCGCGUUGUAAUUUGUAGAGGAUGCUUCGGCGAGGACUCCUGCCUAAGUUCCCUGGAAUGGGACGUCGCAGAGGGUGAGAAUCCCGUAUGUGGCGGGCGGUCCAAGCCAUGUGAAGCUCCUUCGACGAGUCGAGUUGUUUGGGAAUGCAGCUCUAAAUGGGAGGUAAAUUUCUUCUAAAGCUAAAUAUUGGCCAGAGACCGAUAGCGCACAAGUAGAGUGAUCGAAAGAUGAAAAGCACUUUGGAAAGAGAGUUAAAAAGUACGUGAAAUUGUUGAAAGGGAAGCGCUUGCAACCAGACUCGCCCGCAGUUGCUCAGCCUGCCUCCUGGCGGGUGUACUCUUCUGCGGUCGGGCCAGCAUCAGUUCGGGCGGCUGGAUAAAGGUGUCGGGAAUGUAGCACCCUUUGGGGUGUGUUAUAGCCCGGCGCGGAAUGCAGCCAGCCUGGACUGAGGAUCUCGCUUCGGCAAGGAUGCUGGCGUAAUGGUUGUAAGCGGCCCGUCU